rnacentral:rRNA from 1 species
CAGCCGCCGCGGUAAUACGAAGGGUGCAAGCGUUACUCGGACUUACUGGGCGUAAAGCGUGCGUAGGCGGCUUCUUAAGUCGGAUGUGAAAUCCCUGAGCUUAACUUAGGAAUUGCAUUCGAUACUGGGAAGCUAGAGUAUGGGAGAGGAUGGUAGAAUUCCAGGUGUAGCGGUGAAAUGCGUAGAGAUCUGGAGGAAUACCGAUGGCGAAGGCAGCCAUCUGGCCUAAUACUGACGCUGAGGUACGAAAGCAUGGGGAGCAAACAGGAUUAGAUACCCCGGUAGUCCCUGUCUCUUAUAA